UACGGAGGGUGCAAGCGUUAUCCGGAUUUACUGGGUUUAAAGGGUGCGUAGGUGGGUUGGUAAGUCAGUGGUGAAAUACUUUCGCUUAACGAAGGAACUGCCAUUGAUACUACCAGUCUUGAAUACAGUGGAGGUAGGCGGAAUGCGUCAUGUAGCGGUGAAAUGCUUAGAUAUCGUAAGGAAGACCAGUGGCGAAGGCGGGUCUCUGGACAGUUCCUGACGCUGAGGCACGAAGGUCAGGGGAGCAAACGGG
rnacentral:rRNA from 1 species